rnacentral:rRNA from 1 species
GUGGGGAAUAUUGGACAAUGGGGGGAACCCUGAUCCAGCCAUGCCGCGUGGAGGAAGACUGCCCUCUGGGUUGUAAACUCCUUUUAUAUGGGAAGAACCGUCCUCAUUAAUGAGUGACCUGACGGUACCAUAGGAAUAAGCACCGGCUAACUCCGUGCCAGCAGCCGCGGUAAUACGGAGGGUGCAAGCGUUAUCCGGAUUCACUGGGUUUAAAGGGUGCGUAGGCGGAUAAAUAAGUCAGUGGUGAAAUCAACGGGCUCAACCUGUUAACUGCCAUUGAUACUGUGUAUCUUGAAUAUGAGAGAGGUAGGCGGAAUGUUGCAUGUAGCGGUGAAAUGCUUAGAUAUGCUACGGAACACCGAUUGCGAAGGCAGCUUACUAUUUCGUAAUUGACGCUGAGGCACGAAAGCGUGGGUAGCGAACAGGAUUAGAAACCCCGGUAGUCC